rnacentral:rRNA from 1 species
GUGGGAUGACGUCAAUCAUCAUGCCCCUUAUGUUCUGGGCUACACACGUGCUACAAUGGCCGGUACAGACGGACGCAAAGCCGCGAGGUGGAGCAAAUCCUAAAAAGCCGGUCUCAGUUCGGAUUGCAGGCUGCAAUUCGCCUGCAUGAAGUCGGAAUCGCUAGUAAUCGCAGGUCAGCAUACUGCGGUGAAUACGUUCCCGGGCCUU